GCCAAUAUAUACAAUGUGAGCUAUAAAGAAACCAUAAGUCAAAAGGAAAAAAGAGAUAUACAUAAUCGCCUGUUUCAUUGUCUCUUUU
rnacentral:ribozyme from 13 species